CACUUUCAAAGGACAGCAGCCGCCCAUUAAUUUUAGGAAUUAACACCCCU
rnacentral:tRNA from 1 species